AUGAACGCUGGCGGCGUGCCUAAUACAUGCAAGUCGAGCGAACGGACGAGAAGCUUGCUUUUCUGAUGUUAGCGGCGGACGGGUGAGUAACACGUGGAUAACCUACCUAUAAGACUGGGAUAACUUCGGGAAACCGGAGCUAAUACCGGAUAAUAUUUUGAACCGCAUGGUUCAAAAGUGAAAGACGGUCUUGCUGUCACUUAUAGAUGGAACCGCGCUGCAUUAGCUAGUUGGUAAGGUAACGGCUUACCAAGGCAACGAUGCAUAGCCGACCUGAGAGGGUGAUCGGCCACACUGGAACUGAGACACGGUCCAGACUCCUACGGGAGGCAGCAGUAGGGAAUCUUCCGCAAUGGGCGAAAGCCUGACGGAGCAACGCCGCGUGAGUGAUGAAGGUCUUCGGAUCGUAAAACUCUGUUAUUAGGGAAGAACAUAUGUGUAAGUAACUGUGCACAUCUUGACGGUACCUAAUCAGAAAGCCACGGCUAACUACGUG
rnacentral:rRNA from 1 species